GCAGCCGCGGUAAUACGUAGGGGGCUAGCGUUAUCCGGAAUUACUGGGCGUAAAGGGUGCGUAGGUGGUUUCUUAAGUCAGAGGUGAAAGGCUACGGCUCAACCGUAGUAAGCCUUUGAAACUGAGAAACUUGAGUGCAGGAGAGGAGAGUAGAAUUCCUAGUGUAGCGGUGAAAUGCGUAGAUAUUAGGAGGAAUACCAGUUGCGAAGGCGGCUCUCUGGACUGUAACUGACACUGAGGCACGAAAGCGUGGGGAGCAAACAGGAUUAGAUACCCC
rnacentral:rRNA from 1 species